rnacentral:misc_RNA from 1 species
UCCGAGUUGACCCCGGCAGUCUCCCAUGAGUCCCCGGCAUAACCCGCUGGCAACAUGGAACGAGGGUUGCGCUCGUUGCGGGACUUAACCCAACAUCUCACGACACGAGCUGACGACAGCCAUGCAGCACCUGUCUCCGGUCCAGCCGAACUGAAGGGAUCGAUCUCUCGUUCCCGCGACCGGGAUGUCAAGGGCUGGUAAGGUUCUGCGCGUUGCUUCGAAUUGAACCACAUGCUCCACCGCUUGUGCGGGCCCCCGUCAAUUCCUUUGAGUUUCAGCCUUGCGGCCGUACUCCCCAGGCGGGGCACUUAAUGCGUUAGCGCCGGCACUCAGGGGGUCGCUCCCCCAAGCACCUAGUGCCCAUCGUUUACAGCUAGGACUAC